CCCUAGGUCUGAGGCCGGUAACAAUUGGGGGCUGCGUCCGGGAUUAGCACAUCUCGCCUGGGACGGUUGUCAUAGUAACGUGGGAAUCCUGCACCCAGUGUUUCAGGGAAGACUACUUCGCCAAGUGUCAUCCAGAGAACAACUGCCACAGGUGAUGCAUCAGCAUGACUACUUUAAGCCCACGGCGAGUGCUGCUCUUCAAGAUCCAAAAGAAGCUUUCAGAUUUGAGUUUUAGUCAGCUGCAGACUGUUGCAAGUUCGAUAGAUGACGGUCGUAAAACUUACCAUGUAGCAGAUCUAAGUGAACCCGAACUUUAUGACCUAAUUGUCGACUACAUCAGAAGUGAUGAGUUAAAAGCUGCAGAAGAUGAGGGCAUGACUCAACUUCUCCUCCUUUCUGACCUACUUAAUGACGUGCUAUCAGCUGCAGGAACCAGAGCCGCUGAAUCGGGUAAUGUGGCACCUGUCUUGAUGGGAGAUUCACCAACACAGCAACAGGGUCACACUCCAACUGAUGACGAUGGAGAAGUUUGCACACAACCGUUACACAUGGACAGAGACAUUCGCACACAAUCAUUACGCGUGAACACAGAGACUGACAUGCACCCAUCAUUUCAGGGCAGAGACACCUAUGCACUUACCAGAGAAGUCACCUCAUCAACGCCUGGUAUGCCAGACCAAAUUGGUGCUGCUCCUUUGGGUAGGAUGAACUCAUCUAACAUUUCUGACCAUGUUGUAAGAUUGUCCGAUGUUUCAGCUUUGUUACCACGUAGAGAGUUUAAGUUGCAUGGUGGUCAAAUUUGUGAUACAGGCUGUGACAUGUCUUUCAAUUGUCUAUGUAAGCAAAUGGAUCAAGGGUUGCAGGAGGGUUUCAGUGAGUCUGAGAUUAUCAGAGCAGUCCUUAAGAUAACAAAACCUGGUACAUUCAGAGAGAUGUUGGUUAAUAAGGAUGACCUCACUACUGAUGGGUUGAAAAGAUUUCUUCGCUCCCACAUUAGAGACAAAAAUGUAACUGAACUUUUUCAAGAGCUAACUAGUGCUAGACAAAAUGACAAAGAAAGCCCACAACAGUUUCUCUACCGAAUAAUGGGCCUGAAGCAGCGUGUUCUUUUUGAGUCACAACAACCUGGUGUAGGUUUUAGCUAUAACAAAGAGCUUGUUCAGGGCACUUUCAUUCACACACUUUACCAGGGGUUAAAUGAGAGGAACAGCCAUGUCAGACGUGAUCUUAAACCUUUUCUCUCAGACAUGCAGGUUAGUGACGACUUGCUCUUGGAAG
ensembl:lncRNA